GACGAACGCUGGCGGCGUGCUUAACACAUGCAAGUCGAACGGAAAGGCCUGCUUUCCCUUGUGGAUUGCGGGUACUCGAGUGGCGAACGGGUGAGUAACACGUGAGCGAUCUGCCCCCAACUUGGGUAUAAGCCUGGGAAACUGGGUCUAAUUCCCGAUAGGACUGCAGGGUGGUGCCUGUGGUGGAAAACGAGUUUCUAGUGGUUGGGGAUGAGCUCGCGGCCUAUCAGCUUGUUGGUGGGGUAAUGGCCUACCAAGGCGGCGACGGGUAGCCGGCCUGAGAGGGUGGACGGCCACAUUGGGACUGAGAUACGGCCCAGACUCCUACGGGAGGCAGCAGUGGGGAAUAUUGCACAAUGGGCGGAAGCCUGAUGCAGCGACGCCGCGUGGGGGAUGACGGCCUUCGGGUUGUAAACUCCUUUCGACCGCGAGGAAGCCACCUGGUUGGAAGGGUGGUGACGGUAGUGGUAGAAGAAGCACCGGCUAACUACGUG
rnacentral:rRNA from 1 species